CCCACCCCACCCGCUGCCCUCGAUUCUCACCCGACCUCCCUCGAUCCCCUCCACCGAACGCCGCAGCACCCUUUGGAUCGUGCCGCCACCACCACCCUCCUGGAUCUCGCCGACGCGCGCGUCCUCCCCAACGGCUGGAGUGCCUCCUCCGCCAAGCCUGGCGAGCGUCCUCCCCCACGGCCGGAGUGCCUCCUCCGCCAAGCCUGGCGAGCGUCUCCCCCCACGGCCGGCGUGCGUCCUCCGCUGCAACCAGGUUGUGCGUGUACUUGUAUGUUUGCGUGAAGCAGAUCAGAAAUCAUGAAGUUCAAAAGGAUAUGGUGGGAGGUUCACAUAUAAAAACCCGACGAUGCUCGUUUGUAUUCGUGUCGGAUGAUAGGCCACUUGCUCUAACAUUUUAUUAUUUGUCUUAAAUUUAAUAAAACUGAACCAUAGAGGUUCAAAAACAAAAAAUGCUUCAAUAUUCAGAGAACAAAACAAGUUCUUUUUUAAAGUUAAAACCCUCAAUGAGCAAAUUGAGAAAUUUUCAUUUACUUUAUCUCUCUAAUCAUAUGGGAAAAUGAGUUCAACUAAAAAGUCACGUAAGAAGUUCAUAUGCAAAAAACAUAUAGUAAAAAAACUACACAAAACGUACAUCUAAAAUAAAUACACAAAACUCCAAAACUCCAAUUUUCACAUUUCUAAAAAAAUACACAAAGAAGUUCAAAUAAAAAAGUUAGUGCGGUUCGAUGUCUAUAAAAAACUCAGAUUUUGUCCGUUACUAAAGUGAAACGGAGAGAAGUUAAAAGUUAUAAUAGCCAGAAGUUCACGUAGUGCAUGGUGUGUGUUUUCAUAUGGGAAAAUAGAAUUAAAAAGUUCAAGUAUAAAAAUUUAGUUGCAAGAAGUUCAGGUGCUCGGCACAGGAAAGUUUUAGAACUUCUUGCGAGAGAAGUAAUCGGCACGGUAUAUCAUUUGUGCAACUCUGAUGAACGGGUGAGAAAUUAUGAACAAAAAUAUGUGGUAGAAGUUCAAAGUGAAAACAACGGGAGGUUCAACUACUACACAGAAUGCAUUUCAGAUGAGAAUAAAACGAAUAAAAAAGUAAAA